GUGCACGCCCGGUGGCAGCUGAUUGGAGGAAGCAGUGGGAGUGAGAGGGAGAACUGUGAAUGAAUAAGCACAGAAAGGUCUUCCUGAUUGAACUUACGCUGAGCUUCAUGUUUACUCACUUGGUGGAUAGCUCACUUGACUGGAAAAAACGCUCACAAACCCUGUCAAUCCUAUGAACUAUGUAAACCAGAAGAUCCUAGAGAGGAACAGGAUAUCCUAAAGAGGGAGAGACAGAGAGAAUAAGGUGCUGUGGCUGCCAGAUUUUGGCAUCGGAUCCAGAGGGCGGCGGCAGGCCAGAGGGGACGACUGUUUGUUUGAUGGGCACUAAAACUCAAAGGGAGGUUAUCACGCCAGUGCGCGUGCACGUGCAGUCUGAAUUUGCCGGUCUUGGUGAGGCUGAGCAUUGAUUGUUUUUCCUUUUCCCUGGCAGCAGCGUCCCAGCUGGAUAGAGGUCCCGGCGUUGGAGUCUCCGGACUGGAUUCUGCCGACCAAGCAGCCACGCUGUACGGCCCCCUCAGCUGGCACGAGGGAAAACCAGGAAACGUUUCAGAACUGGACUGGACUUUUUUAAGUAACAUUCCCUGGA